UUUAACUGAAGAGUUUGAUCAUGGCUCAGAUUGAACGCUGGCGGCAGGCUUAACACAUGCAAGUCGAGCGGGGGAAGGUAGCUUGCUACCGGACCUAGCGGCGGACGGGUGAGUAAUGCUUAGGAAUCUGCCUAUUAGUGGGGGACAACAUCUCGAAAGGGAUGCUAAUACCGCAUACGUCCUACGGGAGAAAGCA
rnacentral:rRNA from 1 species